rnacentral:misc_RNA from 1 species
GAUGAAGAACGCAGCGAAAUGCGAUAAGUAAUGUGAAUUGCAGAAUUCAGUGAAUCAUCGAAUCUUUGAACGCACAUUGCGCCCGCUAGUAUUCUGGCGGGCAUGCCUGUCCGAGCGUCAUUUCAACCCUCAAGCCCCCGGGCUUGGUGUUGGGGAUCGGCGAGCCUCCGCGCCCGCCGUCCCCUAAAUCUAGUGGCGGUCUCGCUGUAGCUUCCUCUGCGUAGUAGCACACCUCGCACUGGGAAACAGCGCGGCCACGCCGUUAAACCCCCAACUUCUGAACGUUUGACCUCGGAUCAGGUAGGAAUACCCGCUGAACUUAAGCAUAUCUAUAAGCGGAGGA